rnacentral:rRNA from 1 species
UGGGGAAUAUUGCACAAUGGAGGGAACUCUGAUGCAGCGACGCCGCGUGAGUGAUGAAGGAAUUAGUUUCGUAAACUCUGUUCUAUGGGAAGAAAAGGACUGUACCAUAGGAGAAAGCUCCGGCUAAAUACGUGCCAGCAGCCGCGGUAAUACGUAUGGAGCGAGCGUUGUCCGGAAUUAUUGGGCGUAAAGGGUGCGCAGGCGGCUUUACAAGUUGGAUGUGAAAUAUUGUGGCUCAACCACAAACGUGCAUCCAAAACUGCAAAGCUUGAGUUAAGGAGAGGUAAGUGGAAUUCCUGGUGUAGCGGUGGAAUGCGUAGAUAUCAGGAGGAAUACCGGUGGCGAAGGCGACUUACUGGACUUAAACUGACGCUCAGGCACGAAAGCGUGGGGAGCAAACAGG